UCAAUAUAAAAAAUAAAAACCCUAAAUAUUUUACUCUUUAUGAUUUAGUGAUCUCUCAACUCAUACAGUAGUAGAAAAAUUAUUACAUCAAAUAUUCAUAUAAGAUGAUGCAAACUCACAAAACACAGAAGAUUCACAAUGACUUAUAUUAUAUUAUAUGUUUCACCUUAAAGAAAGUACAUACUAACCAAACAUAGAAAUGCAUUCCCGAAUGCAAAGUUCCUUCUUUAUCGGCUCAAGCGCAUACAGCAUCUCACAUUCCUUGAUGCACUGAUAAAGGGCAUUACGUGCAAUAUAAUAGGAUGGAGUCCAAGGUUGUUCACUAAUAUUGUUUUGAAACUCAGCAAUGGCGGAAUAAGUAACUACUUGAAUAAUCAAUGUUGCAAUUGCAAGUGCUACACCAUUCCUAGCCAUGGAUCUAUCUCUAUUUCUUUUUGUCAUGUAAUUAGAAGUUUGUCACAAAACAUGUUUUAUACAACCUUAGAGCCUUCCUUAAUAUUAUUGCAACAUAAUUCUCGGACGAGUUAUUAGAAUAUUUC
rnacentral:lncRNA from 1 species